rnacentral:rRNA from 1 species
GGUUAAGCGACUAAGCGUACACGGUGGAUGCCCUGGCAGUCAGAGGCGAUGAAGGACGUGCUAAUCUGCGAUAAGCGUCGGUAAGGUGAUAUGAACCGUUAUAACCGGCGAUUUCCGAAUGGGGAAACCCAGUGUGUUUCGACACACUAUCAUUAACUGAAUCCAUAGGUUAAUGAGGCGAACCGGGGGAACUGAAACAUCUAAGUACCCCGAGGAAAAGAAAUCAACCGAGAUUCCCCCAGUAGCGGCGAGCGAACGGGGAGCAGCCCAGAGCCUGAAUCAGUGUGUGUGUUAGUGGAAGCGUCUGGAAAGGCGCGCGAUACAGGGUGACAGCCCCGUACACAAAAAUGCACAUGCUGUGAGCUCGAUGAGUAGGGCGGGACACGUGGUAUCCUGUCUGAAUAUGGGGGGACCAUCCUCCAAGGCUAAAUACUCCUGACUGACCGAUAGUGAACCAGUACCGUGAGGGAAAGGCGAAAAGAACCCCGGCGAGGGGAGUGAAAAAGAACCUGAAACCGUGUACGUACAAGCAGUGGGAGCACGCUUAGGCGUGUGACUGCGUACCUUUUGUAUAAUGGGUCAGCGACUUAUAUUCUGUAGCAAGGUUAACCGAAUAGGGGAGCCGAAGGGAAACCGAGUCUUAACUGGGCGUUAAGUUGCAGGGUAUAGACCCGAAACCCGGUGAUCUAGCCAUGGGCAGGUUGAAGGUUGGGUAACACUAACUGGAGGACCGAACCGACUAAUGUUGAAAAAUUAGCGGAUGACUUGUGGCUGGGGGUGAAAGGCCAAUCAAACCGGGAGAUAGCUGGUUCUCCCCGAAAGCUAUUUAGGUAGCGCCUCGUGAAUUCAUCUCCGGGGGUAGAGCACUGUUUCGGCAAGGGGGUCAUCCCGACUUACCAACCCGAUGCAAACUGCGAAUACCGGAGAAUGUUAUCACGGGAGACACACGGCGGGUGCUAACGUCCGUCGUGAAGAGGGAAACAACCCAGACCGCCAGCUAAGGUCCCAAAGUCAUGGUUAAGUGGGAAACGAUGUGGGAAGGCCCAGACAGCCAGGAUGUUGGCUUAGAAGCAGCCAUCAUUUAAAGAAAGCGUAAUAGCUCACUGGUCGAGUCGGCCUGCGCGGAAGAUGUAACGGGGCUAAACCAUGCACCGAAGCUGCGGCAGCGACGCUUAUGCGUUGUUGGGUAGGGGAGCGUUCUGUAAGCCUGUGAAGGUGUGCUGUGAGGCAUGCUGGAGGUAUCAGAAGUGCGAAUGCUGACAUAAGUAACGAUAAAGCGGGUGAAAAGCCCGCUCGCCGGAAGACCAAGGGUUCCUGUCCAACGUUAAUCGGGGCAGGGUGAGUCGACCCCUAAGGCGAGGCCGAAAGGCGUAGUCGAUGGGAAACAGGUUAAUAUUCCUGUACUUGGUGUUACUGCGAAGGGGGGACGGAGAAGGCUAUGUUGGCCGGGCGACGGUUGUCCCGGUUUAAGCGUGUAGGCUGGUUUUCCAGGCAAAUCCGGAAAAUCAAGGCUGAGGCGUGAUGACGAGGCACUACGGUGCUGAAGCAACAAAUGCCCUGCUUCCAGGAAAAGCCUCUAAGCAUCAGGUAACAUCAAAUCGUACCCCAAACCGACACAGGUGGUCAGGUAGAGAAUACCAAGGCGCUUGAGAGAACUCGGGUGAAGGAACUAGGCAAAAUGGUGCCGUAACUUCGGGAGAAGGCACGCUGAUAUGUAGGUGAAGUCCCUCGCGGAUGGAGCUGAAAUCAGUCGAAGAUACCAGCUGGCUGCAACUGUUUAUUAAAAACACAGCACUGUGCAAACACGAAAGUGGACGUAUACGGUGUGACGCCUGCCCGGUGCCGGAAGGUUAAUUGAUGGGGUUAGCGCAAGCGAAGCUCUUGAUCGAAGCCCCGGUAAACGGCGGCCGUAACUAUAACGGUCCUAAGGUAGCGAAAUUCCUUGUCGGGUAAGUUCCGACCUGCACGAAUGGCGUAAUGAUGGCCAGGCUGUCUCCACCCGAGACUCAGUGAAAUUGAACUCGCUGUGAAGAUGCAGUGUACCCGCGGCAAGACGGAAAGACCCCGUGAACCUUUACUAUAGCUUGACACUGAACAUUGAGCCUUGAUGUGUAGGAUAGGUGGGAGGCUUUGAAGUGUGGACGCCAGUCUGCAUGGAGCCGACCUUGAAAUACCACCCUUUAAUGUUUGAUGUUCUAACGUUGACCCGUAAUCCGGGUUGCGGACAGUGUCUGGUGGGUAGUUUGACUGGGGCGGUCUCCUCCUAAAGAGUAACGGAGGAGCACGAAGGUUGGCUAAUCCUGGUCGGACAUCAGGAGGUUAGUGCAAUGGCAUAAGCCAGCUUGACUGCGAGCGUGACGGCGCGAGCAGGUGCGAAAGCAGGUCAUAGUGAUCCGGUGGUUCUGAAUGGAAGGGCCAUCGCUCAACGGAUAAAAGGUACUCCGGGGAUAACAGGCUGAUACCGCCCAAGAGUUCAUAUCGACGGCGGUGUUUGGCACCUCGAUGUCGGCUCAUCACAUCCUGGGGCUGAAGUAGGUCCCAAGGGUAUGGCUGUUCGCCAUUUAAAGUGGUACGCGAGCUGGGUUUAGAACGUCGUGAGACAGUUCGGUCCCUAUCUGCCGUGGGCGCUGGAGAACUGAGGGGGGCUGCUCCUAGUACGAGAGGACCGGAGUGGACGCAUCACUGGUGUUCGGGUUGUCAUGCCAAUGGCACUGCCCGGUAGCUAAAUGCGGAAGAGAUAAGUGCUGAAAGCAUCUAAGCACGAAACUUGCCCCGAGAUGAGUUCUCCCUGACUCCUUGAGAGUCCUGAAGGAACGUUGAAGACGACGACGUUGAUAGGCCGGGUGUGUAAGCGCAGCGAUGCGUUGAGCUAACCGGUACUAAUGAACCGUGAGGCUUAACCUUACAACGCCGAAGGUGUUUUG